rnacentral:rRNA from 1 species
GACAGAGGGUGCAAACGUUGUUCGGAAUUACUGGGCGUAAAGCGCGUGUAGGCUGCUUGGCAAGUCGGAUGUGAAAGCCCUGGGCUCAACCCAGGAAGUGCAUUCGAAACUGCCGAGCUGGAGUCCUGGAGAGGAAGGCGGAAUUCUCGGUGUAGAGGUGAAAUUCGUAGAUAUCGAGAGGAACACCGGUGGCGAAGGCGGCCUUCUGGACAGUGACUGACGCUGAGAC